rnacentral:rRNA from 1 species
GCAAGUCGAACGGGGUGCAAUACCUAUCGGCAGACGGGUGCGGAACAUGUGGGAAUCGUCCUUUUGGUGCAGAACAACAUGGGGAAACCUAUGCUAAUCACGUAUAAGUACUAACGGAGAAAGUUUUAAUGCCAAAAGAUGAGCCCGCAUUUGAUUAGCUUGUUGGUGAGGUAAUAGCUCACCAAGGCUAUGAUCAAUAGCUGAUUUGAGAGGAUGAUC